CCUUAAAAAAAACAUAUGGUACUCAGGUACUUAUUUAUUUCCAUUUAUUCUCUAAUGCAAUAUAGAUAAAAUUGAAAAAUAAUUGUUUCUAGCAAAUUAGUUAAUCGCAAAAAUGUUCAGAUUGCCCUUUGGAGAAAGAGUAGAUCCGAUGGAAGAAAAACGUCAAGCACGCGAGAACACUAUCAAUAGCGUAAUAACGUUUGGAAUAAUGUGUGCAAUUAUAAGAAUCGCUCCCUUGGUACUGGAACAUGGUAGUUUUCAGUAGGCAGAUAGUGCAGUGUGCAAUGACAUGAUCAAUAUUCCACAAGAAUGAGUUCCUACAAUGAAGCAACAAUAGUAGUAGAAACAGUUUAAAUGUUAUUAUUUGAAGAAAAAAUAUUUUUUACAUA